rnacentral:lncRNA from 1 species
UCGUACUUAGUUAAGGAGUCUUACUUGUAACCAUGGUUUUACUUCUUCAAAAAUUCAAGAAAAAGUCCUCUCAAAUGUCUCUUAAUGUUGGAUCACAAUAUCACAUGCCUUUUUACAUUAUUGUGAGACCUAAUGAAGUCCACAUUCAACAAACUAAAAAUCAUCCUGACAGUUCACAUUUCCAUCCAGACAUCACUACUUAAUUAAUUGUCCAGCAUCCAUGAUCGAAAUCUUAUUCUGGAAUAUCAUGCUAGUUAAUCAGUUAUAAGCUUAAGCGGGAUGCAAAAUUCGCAAUUAUAAUAUUUUGGGAGGAAUCUAAGUUAUCCCCAACAUUAAUACUCCACAAUUAGCAAGAUUUCAGCAGUGGUUUUCAACUACCCAUAUCAGCACUAACAGAAUCUCUCAGUGGCAUGACCUAAAAGAAAAAGAAUAAGAAAAAUUCCUCAGAAGAAGUACAAAUAUGGUCAUAGAUUUCCUUUAAGAAAAAAGGACAAGUUACCAAAAAUAAAUAUGAUUAUAUAAAAUAAAACAACAAGAUAUGUUCAGAACACAGUCCCUAAACAUUCUGAAAAGGAAAAAAUUAACAAUUUGGUAAUUACAACGACCAAUUUAUAAUAUGGGACUCACUCAACCCACCAUAUCCCCAAAUUUGUAUCUCAACUCAACAUAUAAAUCAUCAUGAUUUAAUGCCAAACUAGUUCGCAUUCCCCCAAAUUUUUAUAAAGUCAAAAAAAAUAUUUUAAUCAAUAUAAUGCUGAUUAUGCCCGCUGUAUAUAUGAAACAAACUCAAGGAAAGAUUAUCCUAAUAAUGUUUUGCCACUCAAUAAGCUUUAACAACUGAUUGAGCUUAGUUUAUCUGGGUAAAUCAGUACCUCCUCACUAAUUAUUUAUAAAUCAACUGAUUAUUACCCAUUUGAGUUUCUCAAUCGAGACCCAAAAAACUAAACAAAAAAAACCCAACACGGAAAAAACAGCUUUUUUUGUCAAAAUAACAAUCGGUUUUUACUCUUGGAGCUAAAAUUACCAAAACACAUGCAUUUGGAUGUUCUCAUCUAACCCAGAAAAUUAAACACAAUAACAGACCCAAAAAAGCAACAACAAAAAUACAAAUGGAGUCGCUUUGCAUCCUCUGAGUUGAACAAAAUAGCCAAAAAAACAAAAUAAAAAUGGAUCAAAUGAAGGAACCGUAUAGAUAUCAAACCGAUUUUGAGACCCAAAAAAUAAAAAUUACUUUGCCAUGUCUCAAACGAGUGACAGACUGUGUCCUCUUGGAUAGAGAGAAGAGGCUGCUCUGUUAUACUAUAAUGGACUGAGUUAAGAGAAAAAUCCUCCUCUAUUUCUCUACCUGAAGAGAGAUGAGCGGGAAAACGGCUUGGUACCAUUAGAAGAGGUUCGGUGUCCGAGCCUCAGCUCAAGAAAGUAUUUUUGUUCACAAACGCGUUUAGUUACACUUUUGGUUGGAUCCAGCAUUGACUCCAAGCCUUGGGUUGGAAGCCGAACGGAAAU